AUUUUGCUAACGCUAACGGGGUUUCAACAUGGAUCCACGGAGUAUAGAGUACAUAUAUACUUAACUCAAUUAUAUUUUUUUGGUUGAGAACGCUGUAUUUUCAGUUAUCAAGAUCCGGUAACGGUAGCUCUACCGAUGACACACAUAUUAAUUAGAAAACACAGUAGAGUGUAGUGACUGGAGAUUUGAUCAACGACUUAUCAAGAUACGAAAUCAUACCACUUUGUUGUGCGAACACUGCAGUAAUAGUAAAGUAGCAUCUUGCUACCACACACCACUUCAGUUUGAGCACAGCUUUAUGAAAUGCCAAGUAACAGGAAGUGAUAUGACAAGUGGAAGGUGUCAACAUGAUGAUGGAUACAGCAACAAUAGAUAAAAAAAAAACGGUGUUAAAUAGUGGAUGACAGAUAUGAGAAACAACAGAUUGGAAAGUCAAUAGUAUCAAAGGUCCACUGAACUUAACAAAUAAUGUGACACUGAUAUGAUACAUAUCUGGAAGAAAUAUUGAUUGAUACUGAUGCAAGUUUUAUUCAAGAGACAUUGAAAUGUAAUGUGCACAUAUACAUAUGUGUAAAACACUAAUUCAAUGCUUAAAUAUUAUGUCACACAAAAGUAGUGUGUUAUAGCAAUCAAACAGUAAAUAAUAAUAAUCUGGAAUAUAGAUUAAACACUUUAACAACAAGACAAAACAUAACAAUGAACAAUAUUUCAUAAAAUCUAUAUCAAAACUAAA